UACGUAGGGUGCAAGCGUUUGUCCGGAAUUAUUGGGCGUAAAGAGCGUGUAGGCGGCCCGAUUAGUCCGCUGUGAAAGUCCAGGGCUCAACCCUGGAAUGCCGGUGGAUACUGUCGGGCUAGAGUCCGGAAGGGGCGAGUGGAAUUCCUGGUGUAGCGGUGAAAUGCGCAGAUAUCAGGAGGAAUACCAAUGGCGAAGGCAGCUCGCUGGGACGUGACUGACGCUGAGACGCGAAAGCGUGGGGAGCAAACAGG
rnacentral:rRNA from 1 species